UAUGUGAUCGUCUCUCGCAUAUCAAUAAGCGGAGGAAAAGAAACUAACAAGGAUUCCCCUAGUAACGGCGAGUGAAGCGGGAAGAGCUCAAAUUUGAAAUCUUAAAGGGUUUCCCUUUACGAAUUGUAGUUUAAAGAAGUGUUUUCUGUUGAGGUUUUGGUAAAAGUUCUUUGGAAUAGGACAUCAUAGAGGGUGAGAAUCCCGUAUUUGACCUUUACUUUCAACUUUGUGAUACACUUUCAAAGAGUCGGAUUGUUUGGGAAUGCAGUCCAAAAUGGGUGGUAAAUUUCAUCUAAAGCUAAAUAUUGGCGAGAGACCGAUAGCGAACAAGUACCGUGAGGGAAAGAUGAAAAGAACUUUGAAAAGAGAGUUAAACAGUACGUGAAAUUGUCAAAAGGGAAGCGUUUGACACCAGUGUUGUUUUUCUGAAAAUCAAUUAAAGAACUGUUUAUGCUAAGCUGUUUAGACUUUAUCAGCUAACUGUUUAGUUUUGAGCUUUUCUUUAAUGCACUUUUCAGUUAACAAGUCAACAUCAAUUUCUUUUGCUGUAAAAAAGCUUGAGGAAGGUGGCUUGAGAUUCGUCUUAAGUGUUUAUAGCCUCUUGCCUAUGCAGUCGGAGAGAUUGAGGUCUGCAGCGUAGAUCCUUCGGGGCUAAAUGCAUUUGUGCUAAGUUAUAGCAUUUUAUAGACAACUUGUUGACUAUGAUUUGUCUUGUAGCUUACUCGCUUAUGUUAUUUUACCUACGCUUAGGAUGUUGAACACGCACAGAGUCUC
rnacentral:rRNA from 1 species